GACGCUCGUGAACUCGGACAGGCGCACCGAGGAGCGUUUAGGAAUAAACGGAGGACAGAGAUAACGGUUCCGCUGAAUUUAAAAGGUUCCCCGAUAAACAGCGCGGUUUCACGCCGGCCAGCAGGUGCUGAAGAGCGGCGGGCAGAGCGAGGACUAACCGCAGGAAGGCGGACUGUUCUCCCGUAAACCCGUCUUCACCUCCCAGAUGCGGGGUCUCUCCAUCCAUGGCCUCCUCCAGGUGACCUCCAGUGAUCCCUCCUGACUGCAGCUUUAAACCCUGAUCCAGCAGCAGACUUCUGCAGGGUAGGACCAGUAAGAUACACAUACUAGCUGCUGAAUUAUUUAUCACCAGAUGGUGGGCUCUGCUGCUGAACCAGAAGGAGAUGGAGAGCUAGAGAGAGAGUAAAAAAGAUGGCGAGAGAAAGGGUAGUAUGGAGGUGUCCGACGCCGCUGGAAGCCGUGAGUCAGCAGGGAGAGAAAAACCCAGUGUGGGGGAAGAUACAGAGUUUAUAGAUAGCUUUAGGGGAUACGACUGGAGACAGUGGCGUCAAAUGCCCCCGGUGUGUUUGUGAACGUGUGGGUGCAUGUAUCGAUUUACCAAAGAAGGUCAUGGAGCCGAGAGGAGAUUAGAAAACUAGACUCAGAGCACGGCAGCAGAGCUAACGCCUCCUCUGAAUAGCAGCUAGACAAAAAAAAAGGAGACAAGGCGAAGGACGAGAGGAGCUGCUUCACUAUGGGGGAGAGCUAUAUGUACCAGCGACUCCCUUACACCAGAGGAAAGGAGGAGGGGGAGGAUGAGGACGAAGAGGAGAGUGCCGGGAGGAUUAGAGAGAGUGUCGGGGGACAAAUGAUGCAGAGUGAGGAGGGGACCGAGUGGCUGCUGGAGCUGCUGACAGACGUGCAGCUGCAGCAGUACUUCCUGCGGAUCCGUGAUGAGCUCAACGUCACACGAAUCUCCCACUUCGACUAUGUCAAGAACGAAGACCUGGAGAAGAUCGGCAUGGGACGCCCCGGUCAGCGGAGGCUUUGGGAGGCAGUCAAGAGGAGAAGAGCUCUCUAUAAACGCAAGUCCUGGAUGAGCAAGGUGUUCCCUGUUAAACGACCUGACACGGACCCCCAGCAACCCCUCCCUCAGGGGGCAUCGUCCAGUUCGACUUCAUCCAAUAGUGAGCCAGCAGCCUCGCUCACCUGCCUGAUCAGAGAGUCGGAGCUGCAGCUGUUUGAGCGGCUGGGAGACGGCACGUUUGGGGUGGUGCGGAGAGGAGAGUGGACUGGACCCAACGGCAGAGUGUUGUCAGUGGCAGUGAAGUGUCUGAAGGCCAGUGUGUUGGACUCUGAUGGUCUGGACGAUUUCAUCAGAGAGGUGAACGCCAUGCAUUCACUGAGCCAUCAGAACCUCAUCCGGCUGUACGGCAUCGUCCUUACGCAGCCCAUGAAGAUGGUGGCUGAGCUGGCCCCUCUGGGUUCUCUGUUGGACCGCCUCAGGAAGCGUCAGGGUCACAUCCUCAUCUCCUCUCUGUGCAACUACGCUGUACAGGUGGCGUGCGGCAUGGCCUACCUGGAGCAGAGACGUUUCCUCCACAGAGACCUGGCCGCCCGCAACGUUCUGCUGUCCACCAAUGAAAUCGUAAAGAUUGGUGACUUUGGCCUGAUGAGAGCUCUGCCAACACACACUGACCAUUACAUCAUGGAAGAGGGCCACAAAAUCCCUUUCCCAUGGUGUGCUCCAGAGUCUCUGAAGUCUCGUAGUUUCUCUCAUUCGUCUGAUACCUGGAUGUUUGGGGUCACUCUGUGGGAGAUGUUCACCCAUGGACAGGAGCCGUGGCUGGGCCUUAAUGGGAGCCAGAUUCUCCACAAGGUGGACGUGAAUGCUGAGAGGCUCUGUAAACCAGAUGACUGUCCUCAGGACAUUUACAAUGUAAUGCUGCAGUGCUGGAGCCCCAAACCUGAGGACAGACCCACCUUCAUCGCCCUCAGAGACUUCCUGCUGGAGACAAUGCCGACAGAUAUGAAAGCGCUCCAGGACUUUGAGGAGGAAGACAAGCUCCAAAUUAAAAUGAACGAUGUCAUCACCAUGAUAGAGGGAAGGGCAGAGCAUUACUGGUGGAGAGGACAGAACAGGGGCACGCUGCGUAUCGGUCAGUUUCCUCGUCACGUGGUGACAUCAGUCGCCGGUACGUCCGUCCACGACAUCAGCAAACCGCUCAAACACUCCUUCAUCCACACGGGGCACGGAGACACGGACCCUCACAGGAGCUGGGGACAUGCAGACCGCAUAGACAGUCUGUAUUUGGGGAACCCCAUGGACCCUCCUGACGUCCUUGGAAUGGACUCGGGCAUCGCAAGGCCGACCAAACUCCCCAACCGUGCAAAGAAGCAACCUCCUCCUCGUCCGCCUCAACCUGCUGUCCUGCUGAAGAAGCCAUUCUACGACUCUGUGAUCGACGAUUACGAUGACGAAGAAGACACCAGCACUUCUUCUGGCCUGAGGAAGCUCGGAGUGUCCCUGGGACUGAAGCUGAGACCGUGGGAGGGGUCCAGUGUGCGCUCGGCCAAAAGUGAAGUAUCGCUCAUCGACUUCACUGAUGACAGCUUCAGCUCCACCACGCCCUCGCCACUUGCUGAUAUGCGGCAGCCGGAUGAGGACACCCUCAAGGACACUCCGUCCAUCCUGGACUGGCCUCUCCCUCAACCAUCUUAUGACGAGGUGACUACCGAGCUCGAGGACCAAUCAGAGGACCAGGAGGUGCGGUCUAUUAACAAGGGAUUCACUGAGGAGACCACGCCCACCGCCAGCAUUAGUAUGGUUGGCCGGAGCGAGUCGCAGUCAGCUGACCUCUUCCAAGAGUUACAGAGAGAGGUGAUGGUGAAGCUUCAGGUUCCCAUGUCAACGGGCCGCUCUCUCCCCUCCUCCCCGCUCCCGAUGACCCUGGCUCCUCCGAGCACCCACCGACAGAUCUACCUGCCCCCUCCGUCCCCCACCUACGCCCCCUCCUGCCUGGAUGACCGUCCCGUGCUGCCCCCUCGCAGCCCCGUCCCCCCGUUGCGUCCGUCCAAGCGCAUCCCCUCUACCCACACCCCCCACCCCCAGGCACGCCCCAGCUCCAUCUCCAUGGGCGAUGUGGAAGACAGACCUCCUCAGAUCCCACCCAGAGACCACGCCUUCUCUCAGCCAGGCUCCCGCUCCUCCUCUCCACUCCCCCUGGUGCCCCCGCUGUCCUCCUACCCCAUGGCCCUGCCCCCUCCCCCUAUCUCAAGCUCCCCUCGCAGGGCAUCAGGACUCCUGGGACCCCUUCUGUCCUCCAACUCCUCCCCGUCUCACUCCACAUCACACUCCUCACGGCAAGCAGCUAGUGGUUCAUCCUACUCAUCCAGCUCCAUACUGGAUCCUCUUGCUUUUCGUGAGGGGCGCGGCCUCUCCUCACUGAUUGACAGCUCCCAGAGCUCUGCUCCGGCUCCGUUGCCAGAGCGACCAGCUUUUCUGGAAAGAUAUGGAACAGCUAAUAUGGCGGCAGUCAAACCAAUGAUUCAACAUCCCAGCGGAGCCAAACCAAACUCCUCCUACAACAACAACAAUGGGCGAACUGCAGCUCCCAGCAUGCUUCAGGAGCAGACUGUCACACAGGUAAGAGAGAGGUCCAAGGAGCAGUACACGGUGUCACGCUGGAAGAGUGUCAGGCAGCUCUGCAAAGUCACAACUGGAGCACCCCCCAUGCAGUAAACGUUUUAAAGGUGGAGCAGCUGUUUCGUCUUGGCCUGAGGUCGAGAUCUGAGUGUGAGGAACUUCUGCAGCGCUGCCAGUGGAACCUGGAACAGGCCAGCACGCUCAUGCUGGACACAUACGGACCACAUCGUAACAAGAAGUGACAACAGGAGGACAAACUGAGCGCUAAUCACCCACUGACCGGCUCAGAUGACUCACCAUUCCAAGCAUUUGAGACAUAGUGAUGCUUUUUAAUGAAUGGAGGUACAUAAAGCCGUAUAUGUGCCUCACUUAUUGUACUGUGAAUACCUGCUAUUAUCUGUGUCAUACACACGCAUGCUCAUUAUUUGCUAACGGAGCAGCUUGUUGAAUGAACUUUACUUGAACCAUUGCUAUCUAUGCUUUUUGUUAUUACUGUACCUGAAUAAUGAACGGUUGUGUUUUUUCUGGUAGCUACUGCAAACUUCUACUGUGUGUGUCUGCUGUGAAUGAGUGAGUGUGUGCAUUACAUGCACACAAACACUGUAUAUGGCCAUGCUUUCUGCUGUUAAUAAAGCGAUAUAAAAUCAGGGAACUGUUAGCUACUGAUAUAGUUGUAGGUUUUGUAUGUAAAGUCCUUAUAAGAUACUGUAUUAUGUAUUGCACUUUACUAAGUGUUUAACACUAGCUGAAGACACAAUAACUGCUGGUCAGACUAAGAUACAUCUUGUUUGUGAAGUGAAUAAAAUACGGAUAUGGACUAUUAGCAUAUCAGGAAUGAUUAUUGUAUCAUUUGAGUUGUAAACCAAGCUUUUUAGGCUUUUUAGAAUCUUAGCUGGAACCCUAUAUAUAGGCAAUACAAUGCCUGAAUCAGAAAUGUGAAGCUACCUACCAUCUCAUUAUGAACAAGUAAGAUAUUUAAUCAUUUGAAAAUUGAUGUUUAGUAUUUCUUCCUAUGAAAAUGAAUGCUGCAUGAUAAUCAGUAGCAGUUGCCUACUUAUUCAGUUGAUUUGAAUUAAAUGCUUCAGUAAGUGUUACUGUAUGUAUGAGUGUGUACUUGUGUGCCUACUGCCUAGUGUGUGUAUGUGUGUGUCUGCGCAGAUAUUGAUCAUAAAUAUGAUCACUUACAAAUUAUACGGAACAAAAAACAGAUGGGAAUGGAUAACACAUGUUCCAUUAUUACAGCUUUGCAUGUCAGAUGCUAUAAGAUACAGCCGGCUUUCUUCUUCAGACCAAAUUAGGACAGUAAAAGUAGAAAUGUCAAAUACAUUAUGGCAAAAAUGUUAAAAAACGCUUCUGUUUCUUUGUGUUUGGGUCUGUGUGUGUCAGACAUCCUGCCAGCUAUUGCAGUGUUUUGGAUUUAUGUGAUGCUGACAGCAAUAUGUUGUAACAUUCGAGCAGCUUAUUAAUGAAAUUACAAGUAUGGCCUCCAACAUUGUGUUAAUAAAAUGAAAUGCGAGUUUUCAAA